AUUGAACGCUGGCGGCAGGCCUAACACAUGCAAGUCGAGCGGAUGAAGGGAGCUUGCUCCUGGAUUCAGCGGCGGACGGGUGAGUAAUGCCUAGGAAUCUGCCUGGUAGUGGGGGAUAACGUCCGGAAACGGGCGCUAAUACCGCAUACGUCCUGAGGGAGAAAGUGGGGGAUCUUCGGACCUCACGCUAUCAGAUGAGCCUAGGUCGGAUUAGCUAGUUGGUGGGGUAAAGGCCUACCAAGGCGACGAUCCGUAACUGGUCUGAGAGGAUGGUCAGUCACACUGGAACUGAGACACGGUCCAGACUCCUACGGGAGGCAGCAGUGGGGAAUAUUGGACAAUGGGCGAAAGCCUGAUCCAGCCAUGCCGCGUGUGUGAAGAAGGUCUUCGGAUUGUAAAGCACUUUAAGUUGGGAGGAAGGGCAGUAAGUUAAUACCUUGCUGUUUUGACGUUACCAACAGAAUGAGCACCGGCUAACUUCGUG
rnacentral:rRNA from 1 species